rnacentral:rRNA from 1 species
AACGAACGCUGGCGGCGUGCCUAAUACAUGCAAGUUGAGCGCUGAAGGUUGGUACUUGUACCGACUGGAUGAGCAGCGAACGGGUGAGUAACGCGUGGGGAAUCUGCCUUUGAGCGGGGGACAACAUUUGGAAACGAAUGCUAAUACCGCAUAAAAACUUUAAACACAAGUUUUAAGUUUGAAAGAUGCAAUUGCAUCACUCAAAGAUGAUCCCGCGUUGUAUUAGCUAGUUGGUGAGGUAAAGGCUCACCAAGGCGAUGAUACAUAGCCGACCUGAGAGGGUGAUCGGCCACAUUGGGACUGAGACACGGCCCAAACUCCUACGGGAGGCAGCAGUAGGGAAUCUUCGGCAAUGGACGAAAGUCUGACCGAGCAACGCCGCGUGAGUGAAGAAGGUUUUCGGAUCGUAAAACUCUGUUGGUAGAGAAGAACGUUGGUGAGAGUGGGAAGCUCAUCAAGUGACGGUAACUACCCAGAAAGGGACGGCUAACUACGUG